rnacentral:rRNA from 1 species
GACGAACGCUGGCGGCGUGCCUAAUACAUGCAAGUCGAACGCUUUUUUCUUUCACCGGAGCUUGCUCCACCGAAAGAAAAGAGUGGCGAACGGGUGAGUAACACGUGGGUAACCUGCCCAUCAGAAGGGGAUAACACUUGGAAACAGGUGCUAAUACCGUAUAACACUAUUUUCCGCAUGGAAGAAAGUUGAAAGGCGCUUUUGCGUCAACUGAUGGAUGGACCCGCGGUGCAUUAGCUAGUUGGUGAGGUAACGGCUCACCAAGGCCACGAUGCAUAGCCGACCUGAGAGGGUGAUCGGCCACACUGGGACUGAGACACGGCCCAGACUCCUACGGGAGGCAGCAGUAGGGAAUCUUCGGCAAUGGACGAAAGUCUGACCGAGCAACGCCGCGUGAGUGAAGAAGGUUUCGGAUCGUAAAACUCUGUUGUUAGAGAAGAACAAGGAUGAGAGUAGAACGUUCAUCCCUUGACGGUAUCUAACCAGAAAGCCA